AACCAUGUGUGGUCACUUGAUGUGUAAAUCCUGCAUCGAAAACUUGUUGAAGUAUGAUAAUUUGUGGUGUAUUCGUAUGAUAAAUAUUAGUUUUUAUAUUCUUUUAUUUGACUAAACUUACACACUACAAAGUUUGCACAUGCAUAACCUUCCCCGCCUUUUUUAGUCCCGUGUCCACCGCUGGACACUAUUAAAUUCAACGAGAUUUUAUUUAUGUCACUGUAUAUGCUCGUUUAAUAGUCAGGGAAGUAAAGGGAGUUACAACCAGAUGUGGUGAUGGCAAGCCUCAUUCAUGGAAUCUCACUCAUUGAAUUGCACAAUCGCACCCAUGACAAUUGUACGCAAGGUUGGGCCCAGAAUCAUUGAUAAUAAAACACACCAGAAAUGUCUUGUAACUUCAUUUAAUAAUAUUUAAAAUAUGAUGGGUACAUGGGAGGUUUUAAUAAAACGAAAAUGUUGGAAGAGAUUGUGGGUUCAUACCAUAGACGUUGAAUAGGGAUGAUUUGCCACAAGAAUAUAUCCAUCUUGUUGGUGUUGGCAGAUGACGUCAUGGGUAUAUAGGAAGCCACGUUGCGAUUUCAAAUCACCACUGAUGAAGACACUAGACUGGAGUGUCGAAACGUUGGUUUGUGAAUGUAAUUCGACUGGGCUUUGCAGUCAUUUAUAAAAACCAGAGUAUAUAGCGAGCGAAAACAUGACGGACAAACAUAAAACGUUUGUAGAUAUUGCUUCAAAAUCAUGUUGCAAAUGUUCUUAUAAUCGAUCAUAAGUCAUUAUUUUCUUUCAUUUCAUACAUUACCAACAAAUGGUUGUUGGGCAUCUAGUAUCUUUAUAGGCGUCAUUGACUUGUUAGAAUAAAAUACAGUAAAUGACAGCAUACAAAAGAAGCGGAAUGGCUCUGGUAUUUUCACUGUAAGUGGUAAAAGGAUUUGUUUUCUUUUGUCAGGAGUCCGAACCCAAAAUGUCCCGAAGAUGGUGAAGAGUUGAGUAAAGAAAAAGUGAGUGCUUUUCAUAUAAACCUCUUAGUAUAAACAGAAAGAAAUUGUAUAUCUCGACGUUUGGAGCAGAGACCCUUCAUCAGGAGCAGAAAGGAGGAGUAUGUAGUAAAUGAAACUCGCUGCUUUUGUGGGAAAACUACGAAGGAAGUAACGUGAAUCAAAUAAACCAAUCCAACAUAACCAUAGCAAAAUCAAAACAAAUAAAGAGAUGUCAGGCAUAGGAUAACCGUGCACCAUCAUUUAAAGAUAGAAGGAGUGCGAAAAUAUGAUUUAGGAUGAUUAUAAUUGAUAUGUACAUGAAUGCAAUGAGAGAUAACAAGAGAGAUGAAAGAAAAUCUCUCAUUAUGACCAUGUGGGUGUGUAUAGUAAAUAUUUUUCCACCAGUGAUGGGAUAGAGGCACAAUUGUAGUGCCUGGCAACAUGUCUGUUGUGCAUCUUCUUUUUAACAUCAUGAAGAUACCUAGAAAAUCUGUCGCUAUUUUUCUAACGGGAAAUGUGUUUUCCAUUGUGGGAUAUGAUUCAUUAGACAUGAUCCUAACUAACAUGCAUGAGAACUAUAACGCACCGAAAGUUUAUCCAACCAUUUGGUUUAUCAGACCACAUUGCAGUUGCUGUUUCACCAUCGAGCAAAUUAACCACAGAAAUGAAAUGGGAAAAUAAUUAAGCAGUAUAUAGACCAGUGCCAGUGGCGUGCUGGCCCGUGUUCGCCAGGG